AUUGAACGCUGGCGGCAGGCCUAACACAUGCAAGUCGAGCGGAUGAAGGGAGCUUGCUCCUGGAUUCAGCGGCGGACGGGUGAGUAAUGCCUAGGAAUCUGCCUGGUAGUGGGGGAUAACGUCUGGAAACGGGCGCUAAUACUGCAUACGUCGUGAGGGAGCAAGUGGGGGAUCUUCGGACCUCACGCUAUCAGAUGAGCCUAGGUCGGAUUAGCUAGUUGGUGGGGUAAAGGCCUACUAAGGAGACGAUCCGUAACUGGUCUGAGAGGAUGAUCAGUCACACGGGAACUGAGACACGGUCCAGACUCCUAAGGGAGGCAGCAGUGGGGAAUGUUGGACAGUGGGCGAAAGCCUGAUCCAGCCAUGCCGCGUGUGUGAAGAAGGUCUUCGGAUUGUAAAGCACUUUAAGUUGGGAGGAAGGGCAGUAAGUUAAUACCUUGCUGUUUUGACGUUACCAACAGAAUAAGCACCGGCUAACUUCGUG
rnacentral:rRNA from 1 species